CGAAGGAGCUGGUGAUAGUUUUUCUUGGAGAAAUUGAGCUCAUUUGAACAAAUAGGAAUAUCCGAUUGAGCUGGCACCCAUUUAAUCAAAUUGGGGGAUUUGAUUGAGCAAUCAGAGAUCUUUGAAGGAUUGAGCUCCGGUGUGAUUGUGGAAUCCCUGAAGGUGGUUAGCUUGCAAGGAUUUGCCUCAAUUUUGGAGCCUAACCUCUGCAGAAUUGCACGAUAUCGGCAUAUUGCUUUUGCUCCAGUCUGGCCAUGAGAAUGAGGUAUCAUUUAAUUGUGAAAGAAAGCUUUGGAGGAGAACAUAAUUGUGUAUCUGGAAACUGGUUGUGGAAAGACCUAAAUAGCCGUGUUGCUUAUGUAUGAACCAGUUGAUACUCAAACCUCAGAAGAACAUGUGUGCUAAAUCCUGAAGAUCUUUGUGGUAUAUAUGGAUCAAAUUGCUCCCAAUGGAUUAUUGCAAUGGAGUAUUAGAAAGAAUGUGGCUAUCAUG
rnacentral:lncRNA from 1 species